ACCAAGUSGAMGAUCAGUAGCCGAAMUGAGAGGUUGAUCGGCCACAUUGRGACUGAGACACGGCCCAGACUCCUACGGGAGRCAGCAGUGGGGAAUAUUGCGCAAUGGGGGAAACCCUGAUGCAGCAGCGCCGCGGAAGGAUGAAGGUCUUCGGAUCGUAAACUUUKUCUCGGGACGAAACCUGACGGUACCCGAGRGAUUUUGKGUUA
rnacentral:rRNA from 1 species